rnacentral:rRNA from 1 species
AUUGAACGCUGGCGGCAUGCCUUACACAUGCAAGUCGAACGGUAACGGGCCUUCGGGUGCCGACGAGUGGCGAACGGGUGAGUAAUAUAUCGGAACGUACCUUUCAGUGGGGGAUAACGUAGCGAAAGUUACGCUAAUACCGCAUAUUCUGUGUGCAGGAAAGCAGGGGACCUUCGGGCCUUGCGCUGAUUGAGCGGCUGAUAUCAGAUUAGCUAGUUGGUGAGGUAAAGGCUCACCAAGGUGACGAUCUGUAGCGGGUCUGAGAGGAUGAUCCGCCACACUGGAACUGAGACACGGUCCAGACUCCUACGGGAGGCAGCAGUGGGGAAUUUUGGACAAUGGGGGCAACCCUGAUCCAGCCAUGCCGCGUGAGUGAAGAAGGCCUUCGGGUUGUAAAGCUCUUUCGGCCGGGAAGAAAUCGUAUGGGCUAAUACCCUGUGCGGAUGACGGUACCGGCAUAAGAAGCACCGGCUAACUACGUGCCAGCCGCCGCGGUAACAC